UGUUCAAUCACCCACUUCCCACACGCAACAGUAGCUCAUGGGUACCACAUAUAACUUUGCCAAAGUUCUCUAACAAAGUUGAGACACGUGAAGCUUGCAGCUCCCACUACAUCGCUCUGACCAAGAAGGGUAAAAGAUUAGCAAAGAAACAACACUAACAGAGUUUAGACACAUAAACUUUGAAGGUCUAGCUACCAUAUUAUUACCCACAAGGGUAAAGGAACAGUACCACUGCUGGAUAAUUGGAA
rnacentral:lncRNA from 1 species